UCACACCUCCUCCUCCUUCUUCCCCUUGUGUGGAUGUGAGCAUCCCUCCUCUGCUGUAUGUGAUACACGCUCAGCAGCGCUUACAUUGCUUACAGCAUGCAGGCUCUGCGAUGUUGCCAGGCUGCUUCUACGAGCUGCCUGCAGUCGUGGGAUAUGUGAGCCUUGAAUGGCUGCAGACAUCAGCUUCUUGUCUAUGGCUCCAAAAACCCUGAUUUAUCCUUUCCCUUACCAAGUAAAGGUAUGCUGAGGCUGCAGGUGAACUUCUAGGUCCUAAUGCCGUUUCUUUCCAUUUGUGGGAUAAAAGAGUCACCUCCGAGACCAGCAAAAUCCACGCAAGGAAUCAAACCUUUCCUUCUUCUAUUGGACUUCACCGGGAGGCAAGUGACACAGGAUCUUUGAACAGCAGGCUUUUGGAAAUCAUGGGUUUUUGCAGUGGCAGGUGCACACUCAUGUUUAUUUGUGGGAUGCAACUGGCAUGUAUACUGGAGAGACAAAUAUUUGACUUCUUGGGCUACCAGUGGGCACCUAUCCUGGCAAAUUUUGUUCAUAUCAUUAUUGUCAUUCUUGGAAUAUUUGGAACCAUCCAGUGUAGAACACGAUAUAUAACAGGAUAUGCUGUCUGGCUCGUGGUGUGGAUAGCUUGGAAUGUAUUUAUUAUCUGUUUCUAUUUGGAAGCUGGGGACCUUUCCAGGGAAAGAGACCUUUUUAUGACAUUUAAUAUAUCAAUGCAUCGUUCCUGGUGGAUGGAAAAUGGUCCAGGAUGCAUGGUUACCUCAGUAACGCCAGCUCCAGAGUGGGCACCAGAAGAUCAUCGUUACAUUACUAUCUCUGAGUGCUUGCUAGAGUACCAGUAUAUAGAAGUGGCACACAGCUCCCUUCAGAUCUUUUUUGCUCUCGCUGGUUUCAUCUAUGCCUGUUAUGUCUUGAAAUGUAUUUCUGAAGAAGAGGACAGUUUUGAUUUCAUAGGUGGCUUUGACUCCUAUGGCUACCAGGGUCCUCAGAAGACAUCGCACUUACAGCUGCAGCCCAUGUAUAUCUUGGCCUGUUAAAGGAAGUGGAAAAAUACCAGAUCAAUUGGCAAGACAGAUCUACUUUAACGCCCAACUCCAGGACCCCUCUAUAUUUUUGAGCUGAUAGAGGAGUAGAUUCUUAGGUCAAAGUAACAAAGGCAGAUCAUCAAUGUAGAAGUUUAAAGGGGCAUUCACAUAAAUUGCUUCCUGGAAACAUUCCCUUGGAUUGUAUAAAGAGGGCAAGAAAGUAUACGUGAUUGUAUUUUCUUCUCCUUGGAUCAGAAUGAUGCUAGUUCUCACAGUACACAAGUGGAUGUAUUUGCAGAUGCAAAUAUUGCAGUCCUGGGAAGAUGGAAAACUGUUGUAUUGCUGGUGCUUUGGUGCCCUCUACUGGAAGUCUCUCUGCUUUUCCUUCUUUUUGCACUGGUAGCUCUAACUCCGCCACUUUGAGUUACAACAAGAUGUUUGCACAGACAGUAAUGACAUAAAAGAGACCUAAGUGUUAUGAUCAAUCUGGACAUCAAAGACUGUGAAUUAAACUAAAAGUGCCAUAAAUGCCGCCUGAGUUUGAGGCAGUGGGACGUAUUAGGUUUGUUUUGCAGGCAGCCACAUCACGUGCCUGUAUUUUGCCUUAACCCAGCCAAAAUGUGAUUGUCAGAGGAGGAAAAUCUGUAAAGAACGUUACCCGCGAGGGCUUGCUGUAGGACGUUGAUCGCCUUCGCAAAAGGCUUCCACCAUCUGCAUCUUCGUCGCUGCUCUGGGGAUCCGACACUCUGAUUGGACUGCACGUUUGAUAGGACCUCUCUAUAGCAUCACACUUCCAAACAGAAUAUAGCAGUUGGGUGGCUCAGAAGUAUUGCCUUUAAGUUUUGAUUGACAAGCUUUCCUAGUUCAGAUAGUAUUUGUAAAAGAUUGACAGAGGUGCUAUGUCAGUAUAGUAAUUUAUGAUGUUGGUAUUAAAUGCGAUCGUAGUAUAUGGCAAUAAAAAGCCCAAAUAUUACAUUUGUAAAUGCCAUAUGGCUAUUCACAACAAAGCUUCAUAAUUGAAAUUAAUAUUAUUUACGCUAGAAAGCCAUUAGUCCUGUGAUUCUGGAUCCCCCAAAUGCAUGAUGCCCAACUUCCCGAAGGUCUGUCCCAUUGCAUUAGGCAAAGGAGUCGUGCAUUGCUGUGCAAUGUCUCCCAUAACUUCUUACCCAAAUUAUUCUAACUUAGGGCAAAGAUUUUUCUUAAUAUUCCAUAAAACAUGCUGAGUAGAAAGCGUCAGAAAAAAAAGGCUGCUCUUUUGUCAUUGUUUUUAUCUUUUGCCACUGUUGGUGUUUUUUAUGUGACUUGUCUUUUACAAAAUAAAGUGAACAUCUAAAGAUUUCUAUAGAAAAUCAAUUAAACGUUUAUUUAGUAUGAAUAUUUUAUACUUACGUUAUAUGUAUAAUAUGGUGGAUGUGCUUUUUUCAUGAUAUAAGAAAACGGUUUCUUUUGUGAAUAUCUGGAACUUUGUGAUGUCUGGGGAAUUUGUUAGUAUAUUAAAAUGCAUAUUUUAUCUUCCUGUAA